rnacentral:tRNA from 1 species
CAAAAAAUAGUUUAUAAAAAAUAAUAAUUUUGGAGAUUAUAGAAAAACUCAAUAUUUUUUUUUGA